GUUGAACUUGAGUUUGUAUCGUGUUUGAAAUUGAGUUUGUGGUGUUUUUGAACUUGAGUUUGUGUGUUUUUUGAACUUGAGUUUGUGGUGUUUUUGAACUUCAUUUUGUGGCACUUUUUUAACUUGAGUUUGUUGAACUUUAGUUUUUGGCAAUUGUUAAGUGUGAGUUUAGGUCAUUUGUUGAACUUGAAAUUUUGGAAUUUGUUGAACUUAAGAUUGUGGUGUUUGUUGAACUUGAGUUUUUUGGCAAUUGUUGAACUUGAGUCUGUAUUUUCUCUGAACUUUAGUUGGUGGCAAUUGUUGAACUUGAGUUUGUGGUGUUUUUGCACUUGAGUUUGUGUCGAGUUUGAACCUGAGUUUGUGUUGUAUUUGAACUUGAGGUUGUGGAAAUUGUUAAACGUGAGAAUUGGGUAUUGGUUAAACUUGAGUUUGUGUGUUUGUUGAACCUGAGUUUGUGUCUUGUUUGAACUUGAGAUUGUGCUGUUUUGUGAUCUUGAAUUUGUGUGGGUUUUUUUUAACUUGAGUUUUUGGUGUUUUUAAAUUUGAGUUUCUGUUGUUUUUGAACAUGAGGUUGUGGCAAUUGUUAAACUUGAGAUUUGGGUGUUGGUUGAAAUUAAGUUUCGGCAUUUUUGAACUUGAGUUUGUGGUGUUUUUGAACUUGAAUUUGUGUAUUUUUUGAACCUGAGUUUGUUGCAAUUUUUGAACUUGAGUUUGUUGAACUUGAGUUUUUGGCAAUUGUUUAAUGUGAAUAUAGGUCAUUUGUUGAAUUUGAAAUUUUGUCAUUUUUUGAACUUAAGCUUGUGGUGUUUGAUGAACUUGAGUUUGUGGCAAUUGUUAACCUUGAGUCUGUAUUUUUCUCUGAACCUUACUUGGUGGCAAUUGUUGAACUUGAGUUUGUGGCGUUUGUUGUACUUGAGUUUGUGGCGUGUUUGAACUUGAGUUUCUGUUGGUUUUGAACUUGAGGUUGUGGAAAUUGUUAAACUUGAGAUUUGGGAUUUGGUUGAACUUGAGUUUGUGAAUCGUGUUUGAACUUGAGUUUGUGGUGUUUUUGAUCUUGAGCUUUUGUGUUUUUUGAACUGAAGUUUGUGGCAAUUGUUAAACUUGUGACUUAGGUGUUGGUUGAACUUGAGUCUGUGUGUUUUUCUAACUUGAGUUUGUGGUGUGUCUGAACUUGAGUUUUUGUUUUUUUUUUAACUUGAGGUUGUGGAAAUUGUUAAACUUGCGAAGUGGGCAUUGGUUGAACUUGAGUUCGUGUGUUUGUUGAACUUGAGUUUUUGUCAUUUAGAACUUGAGUUUGUGGUGUUUUUGAUCUUGAGCUUUUGUGUUUUUUGAACUUAAGUUUGUGGCAAUUGUUAAACUUGUGACUUAGGUGUUGGUUGAACUUGAGUCUGUGUGUUUUUCUAACUUGAGUUUGUGGUGUGUCUGAACUUGAGUUUUUGUUUUUUUUUAACUUGAGGUUGUGGAAAUUGUUAAACUUGCGAAGUGGGCAUUGGUUGAACUUGAGUUCGUGUGUUUGUUGAACUUGAGUUUUUGUCAUUUAGAACUUGAGUUUGUGGUGUUUUUGAACUUGAGGUUUUGGCAGAUGUUAAACUUGAUAUUUGGGUGUUGUUUGAACUUGAGUUUGUGUCGUGUUUGAACUUGAGUUUGUGUCGUGUUUGAACUUGAGUUUGUGUCGUGUUUGAACUUGAGGUUGUGGAAAUUGUUAAACGUGAGAAUUGGGUAUUGGUUAAACUUGAGUUUGUGUGUUUGUUGAACCUGAGUUUGUGUCGUGUUUGAACUGGAGAUUGUGCUGUUUUGUGAUCUUUGAAUUUUCUAGGAUGAUGCAAUGUCCAGCCAUCAACACAUUUGUGAAGGAAUUUUUACUCCCCAAAAGAGCGCCCCCCCAUGGCAGGAGAAAAAAUUCAAUUUUUUCUUGUCCCCUAAGGUGAAAAUACACAUUGUUGAGUGUCACGCCUAUACGCUUUGUCAAAUUGACACAAAAUUUGACAAACACGUGUAUCUCAAUAAGAUCUACGAAAAAGUCAAUGGGCACGUGUCUGUAAAAUGUACAGUUAAAGGGCUAUUUCGCAUUUUUUGCGGAUUCGCACACAUUGGAAUGUGACUAACUCCUCCUAAGGCUUUCGUCCCACCAACACCAAAUUUGCUCAGGCCAAUCUACACCCCAUGGCCAUUCAAAGUUGUAAAAAUCAUGACGCUGCAUCCCACGGUUUACGUUCUAGGGGGCGCCAAAGAUGACCCAAAAAUCCACAUUCUUAAAAGUCGUUUUGGCCACUGAGUGGCGCCAAAGGGAGUUGUCUAUUAACAGCAGACAAAGUAGAUAUGGCCACUGAGGGGCGCCAAAGGGAGUUGUCUAUUAAAUCUGAUGCUACAGAAAAAGUUAAAAGGCUCACAUUUUUGCUAUAUUAGUGACUUUAUGUCUUAAAUGGGCUCUUAAAGGGUUACAAAAAAUUAUUUUCAAUGAAACAUUUGCUAGUUUUGAACAGGGCAGAAGUAAAAUAAGAGAUGUACAAAAAAAAAUCUGGAAAAAAUAUUAAUCCAAUAUGAUUUUACAGCAGACAAAGUAAUUUUGGCCACUGAGUGGCGCCAAAGGGAGCGGUCUAUUAACAGCAGACAAAGUAGUUAUGGCCACGGAGGGGCGCCAAAGGGAGUUGUCUAUUAAAUCUGAUGCUACAGAAAAAGUUAAAAGGCAUCAAAGUCAAUCAUAUUACUUAUCUCUCACAUAUUCAAGACUUUGAUGCCCUGCAAGAGAUAACCAGUUUUUAUUAUGUUUGAUAAAAAAGAAUUGGUCAUUUUCCUUACCCCCCAUGGCAGGAGAAAUUUUAUUUUUCUUGCGUGUUGCUCAAUGGCUGAAACGCAUCGCUCUCCCGGCAACACCGGAAGGAGGAGCAACUUGCCAUUUGGAUAUAUCCUAGCUGUGUUUGUGCCCUCACUCAUGGUCCAGACUUUUUUCAUAUAGGACAUGGAGUUUGUCUGCAGCGAGUGUUUUGGUAGAAACUGCGCCUCCCAUUCAUUAUAAUGGUAAAAGACCAAAGACAGGUGCGCACACCAUCUUUGGACCUUGAGUGUGAUGCAAUCGCGAGGGGGAGGCGGUCACGCUGAGGGCGACGCGACGCGGCUCGGCCCCGCCAGUGCCCCAACGGGGCCCUAGUUUUUUUUGGUCUAACUUUCUCUCAAAGGUUGGAAAAGAGUUCCUACAAAGAUUUUGGACAUUGAUUUUAACCCUCACGCCAAAAACCUUAAACAUUACCCUAGCCCAGAAACCUAGUAUUACCUUCAGGAAGCCCAAACACCCCAAAUAAUUUUUUUUCAUUUAUCUUUUUUUUUUGUCUAACUAACUCCAAAAGGUUGGAAAAGACUUCCUACAAAGGUUUUGGACAGUGAUUUUAACCCUCACGCCAAAAACCUUAAACCUAAACCUAGCCCCAUAACCUAAUACACGGGUAUUACCUUCAGGAAGCCCGAACACCCCAAAUAUAUAUUUUUUCUUUUUCUUUUUUUUUUUGGUCAAACUAGCUCCAAAAGGUCUGAAACAUGUUCCUUAAAAAAUAUUGGACAGUGAUUUUAACCCUUACGCCAAAAACCUUAAACUUAAUCCUAGCCCCAUAACCUAAUGCUUAAACCUGAAGGGUA
rnacentral:lncRNA from 1 species